UGCGAGCGUUGUCCGGAAUUAUUGGGCGUAAAGGGCUCGUAGGCGGUCUGUCGCGUCGGGAGUGAAAACUCGGGGCUUAACUCCGAGCCUGCUUCUGAUACGGGCAGACUAGAGGUAUGCAGGGGAGAAUGGAAUUCCUGGUGUAGCGGUGAAAUGCGCAGAUAUCAGGAGGAACACCGGUGGCGAAGGCGGUUCUCUGGGCAUGACCUGACGCUGAGGAGCGAAAGUGUGGGGAGCGAACAGG
rnacentral:rRNA from 1 species